UGGGGAAUAUUGCACAAUGGGCGCAAGCCUGAUGCAGCCAUGCCGCGUGUAUGAAGAAGGCCUUCGGGUUGUAAAGUACUUUCAGCGGGGAGGAAGGGAGUAAAGUUAAUACUUUUGCUCAUUGACGUUACCCGCAGAAGAAGCACCGGCUAACUCCGUGCCAGCAGCCGCGGUAAUACGGAGGGUGCAAGCGUUAAUCGGAAUUACUGGGCGUAAAGCGCACGCAGGCGGUUUGUUAAGUCAGAUGUGAAAUCCCCGGGCUCAACCUGGGAACUGCAUCUGAUACUGGCAAGCUUGAGUCUCGUAGAGGGGGGUAGAAUUCCAGGUGUAGCGGUGAAAUGCGUAGAGAUCUGGAGGAAUACCGGUGGCGAAGGCGGCCCCCUGGACGAAGACUGACGCUCAGGUGCGAAAGCGUGGGGAGCAAACA
rnacentral:rRNA from 1 species